AAAAUUUUAAAAGUCGAACAGACUCAACCUUAGAACUUCUGCACCCUAAGUAAAUUUUAAUCCAACAUCGAGGUCGCAAUCCCUUUUAUCGAUUAGGACUCUAAAAAAAGAUUACG
rnacentral:rRNA from 1 species